rnacentral:rRNA from 1 species
UACAGAGGUGGCAAGCGUUGUCCGGAAUUAUUGGGCGUAAAGAGCUCGUAGGCGGUUUGUUGCGUCGGCCGUGAAAACCUGCAGCUUAACUGUGGGCCUGCGGCCGAUACGGGCAGACUUGAGUUCGGUAGGGGAGACUGGAAUUCCUGGUGUAGCGGUGAAAUGCGCAGAUAUCAGGAGGAACACCGGUGGCGAAGGCGGGUCUCUGGGCCGAUACUGACGCUGAGGAGCGAAAGCGUGGGGGAGCGAACAGG